rnacentral:tRNA from 1 species
GGUGAGGUGGAUGAGAGGCUGAAAUCAACUCACUGCUAACGAGUCGAACUGUAAUAGGUUCCGAGGGUUCGAAUCCCUCCCUCACCG